GGAGAUGCAUUGGUUGUGCCAGAUCAUGCUGAUUUGCGUACUACCGUUCUGCGUCUUUGUCAUGACCAUCCAUUGGCAGGCCAUACGGGCGUGACCAAAACUCUUGAUUUGGUGCGUCGUUCGUUUUGGUGGCCUAGGCUGCGGCAGCGUACUGUCGUACGUGUGACAGCUGUCAGAGGGUUAAGGCAGAUACCGGUCUCCGUGGUAGGUUGCUUCUUCCGCUGCUUCCUGAUCAGAAGUCUGGUCUGGGUUGACACUACUGCAAUUAGCGGUUUAAGGUCCUGGGUUCGAUUCCUGGGGAAAUCCCCGAAUUAAUCGGGAGCGCGAGAUUAUGGCUAGCUGCCGAGAUGUGGAGUUGAGGUCACAGUUGAUGGACCAGAUUCGCACGCUGGAUUGGUGGCGAUUGCCGAACCCUCCGUCUCUUCGGAUCUUCGGGUGAAUGGAUGAGGAGGGGUCCCUGAAGGCUGGAUCCGCCGCCUUGGACUUACAGUUCGUAUGGCGAAGACAGUGUGGUAGUGGUGGAUGGUGCUAUAAGGUGAUAAAUUGUAGAACUGACAAUGUGAUAAAGCGGCCCAGAAGCCUCCCAUUCUGUAACAUUACAUUACAUGAUCAGAAGUGGUCUUUUGUGACCAUGGACUUUAUAACUGAUCUG
rnacentral:lncRNA from 1 species